GACGAACGCUGGCGGCGUGCCUAAUACAUGCAAGUCGAACGAACCGCGACUAAGUGCUUGCACUAAGUCAAGGUGAGUGGCGAACGGGUGAGUAACACGUGGGUAACCUACCUCAUAGUGGGGGACAACAGUCGGAAACGACUGCUAAUACCGCAUAGGACAUAGGAUCACAUGAUCCAGUGAGGAAAGGUGGCGCAAGCUAUCGCUAAGAGAUGGACCCGCGGUGCAUUAGCUAGUUGGUAGGGUAAAGGCCUACCAAGGCGAUGAUGCAUAGCCGACCUGAGAGGGUGAUCGGCCACAUUGGGACUGAGACACGGCCCAAACUCCUACGGGAGGCAGCAGUAGGGAAUCUUCCGCAAUGGACGCAAGUCUGACGGAGCAACGCCGCGUGAGUGAAGAAGGUCUUCGGAUCGUAAAGCUCUGUUGUUAGAGAAGAACAGCGCAUAGAGUAACUGCUAUGCGUGUGACGGUAUCUAACCAGAAAGCCACGGCUAACUACGUG
rnacentral:rRNA from 1 species